AUCCAUCUGAAGAGUCUCAAAUAGGACAAAACGCGCGUAAAACUGGAU
rnacentral:hammerhead_ribozyme from 1 species